rnacentral:tRNA from 1 species
GGAUGUGUAGCCAAGUGGUAUGGCAACUGGCUUUUAACCAGUAUAUCGAAGGUUCAAGUCCUUUCACAUCCA